rnacentral:lncRNA from 1 species
GAGGAAGAUCUGCGAGUCAAACAUGAAUAUAAUUAUUGUUCAUCAUCAGUGUUAAUGAGUGUGUGCGUGUGUGCGUGUGUGGCCAAUUUAGUUACUUUGUAGCUAGAUUUAGCGACUUCCCCGCCCCUUUUGAGACUUUUUUUCAAAAGUUUAGGGACAACUAUAGUAACUUCUUGGAUAAACCUUAUCUAAGUUCUCAUCUUGCCCACUGAUCUGCAUUCAUCUUUAUAUAGAUCCGUGAAUUGGCCAUUGUGACGUCAUCUAGUGACGUCAAGCUACGCUCAGUUGAAAGCGGUUGGCGACACAGUGCGUGACGUCACGGGACGCUCCACGUGCCGCUUGUUUACAGCGAGUCUGAGGAGCAGAGAUUGUGAAAGUGUUCCUGGAUUGAGUUUCACUGCUGCUCUUCAUAUUUAGAUCUUCAUCAGAGUCUGUGAGAAUCACCAGCACACGGUCAGUAUGGCACCUAACCCGAACUAACACUAGCAGUGAUAACCCUGGCUUGAGCUUGAGCUUGAGCUGCUCUUCAUCUGAUCUGUGCUGAAGGUCAGCUCUGUUCUCCAGACCUGUGUCUCAAGCAGCGUUUGCACAAGCCCAGUUCUGUGUCUGGAGCGGAUGAUCAGUGCUUGCUGAUUCUCAUGUGUGUGUGUUUCUCGUCAUAUGCAGAUAUUAGAGAGAAGAAUGUUCCAGAUGGUUCAGUUCUUAGUUCCCUCGGGGCCCAAGAGACCCGGUAACAUCAGCCUAUCUCCCCCGAGCCGACAGAACCGGACUCAGACCGCUUCCAAUGAGUUUCUGCAGCACGUCCGGAGAGUCAGCGGCCUGAAACAGCAGGACAUGUUCUAUAACCUGCGUGUCCCAAACCAGAGUCAGAGCGACCGAGACGAGAUCCACCUGCUGCUGCUCACAGGUCACGGAGUGUUCUGCAUCGAUCUGAAGACGUGGAGCGGCUCUGUUUCGGUCGCGAGCGAGGCUCAGGUCAGAGCGGAGCAGCAGAACUUCACCAGCGUCUCCAUCGAGCAGCUGCCCGACGCUCUUCAGGCCAUUACAGAGAAAACCAGCAACCUGCACAGCCACAUGAAGCGCUGCGGGCUGAACCUCCGGCCCAAUCUCUUCAUUCCCAGAGUGCUGUUCCUGUCUGCGGACUGUGUGCGGAGCGCGGAUCUGCUGCAGACGGAGCAGCUGCUGUCCUGCGCAGACGUGGAGCCGUUCCUGCGCUCGCUGCGUGAGGGAUACAUGUCCUGGCUCUCCGACGCCUUCACGCCGUCCUGGAUCUCAGGUGCGUCUGAUAAAGACAGACGGAGCUUCGGCGGGGGUUCUGCUCUGGU